GAUGAACGCUGGCGGCGUGCCUAACACAUGCAAGUCGAGCGGCAGCGAGGGGUGCUUGCACCCUGUCGGCGAGCGGCGGACGGCUGAGUAGCGCGUGGGAACGUGCCCCAAAGUGAGGAAUAACUGCCCGAAAGGGUAGCUAAUACCGCAUAUUAUCUUCGGAUCAAAGGAUUUAUCCGCUUUGGGAGCGGCUCGCGUCGGAUUAGGUAGUUGGUGAGGUAAUGGCUCACCAAGCCGACGAUCCGUAGCUGGUCUGAGAGGAUGACCAGCCAGACUGGAACUGAGACACGGUCCAGACUCCUACGGGAAGCAGCAGUGAGGAAUCUUCCACAAUGGGCGAAAGCCUGAUGGAGCAACGCCGCGUGCAGGACGAAGGCCUUCGGGUUGUAAACUGCUUUUAUAAGUGAGGAAUAUGACGGUAACUUAUGAAUAAGGAUCGGCUAACUACGUG
rnacentral:rRNA from 1 species